GUUUUGAAAAAGUUUGCACACAGUACAAACAACAAAGUUACAUAUUAACAACGCCCGGUAAAGUCCUUUGAGAGAAAUAUUAUUGAGAAUAAUUUGAGUUCAUUUCUUUGAAAUCACAUAUAAAAUCAUUAUGCCUGCAGGCUGCAAACUUGUAACAAGAACUGCUAUACUACUUACAUCCAGUACUUUUGUUGCACGUUAUUUUUUUUCACUAAUAGUUAACUGGUUAUUAUUCAAAACCAGUCUUUCAAUAAACUGCAAUUCCAAAAACCCAACCCUCCAAUAAUGCUGUUCACUUAACUUAUACCUGACAAGUGUCAGAUCCACAAUCUUAUCUCCGUCGUUAUGCUUCUUCAGUGAGUUGCAAUUUAUUACUCCCAUGGCACAAAAUAAACUUCUGGAAUGCUGCCAACACAUCAGAUCACUUCUCAGAGAGAGAGUAACAAAGCAUUAAACACGCAUCCUGCUGAUCAAACAAAAUAAUUGAACACACAGCAGCAGACAGCGAGAUACCAUGAAUGGCGAACAUCACAGUGAAAAGUAGAAAAUACUAGUCAGGGAGCCAACCGCACAAUUUUCCAUGCUUGUUUCCCACGGAUCUCUUGAGGAACAUAUUGCAACCUGCAAAGAAAGCAUAAUACAUACAUUUGCAAUGGGGCCGACUCAUUUGAAUUGAAUACAGUUGUUCAAAUAUCUCUUCUUGGAUGUAAAUCCCAUUUUGCAUCUCCCGUUUUCAAGAAGAAAUUAUAUUCAUUUAAUAACUUGUACAUUUAUUUUGCGAAUUAUCAUUGUACUUCCUAGUAAAUGAGUUGCCUGAUGUCUAACAACACUGUUGCUAAAACAAUCAUUUGGUUAAUAAAAGCACAAGACACAUCAGAUGAAGUAAUUUUAAAAGACCUUGGUGCCACUCUGUAUUUUUGAAACUUGAACAAGCAACACAGUAAAGGAGGGGUGUGCACAGUUGCAUGUAUGUAGUCCACACAACUAAGGGUGUGCAUGGUUCCUGCUUCUCCCGAAAAGAACUGACAUUGUACGACUCAAAUCAUACCGAACAGAAAAACUGAACUGGUUUUAUACAAAUGUUUUCUAUAUCUUUUAGAUAAACUAUAAAAUUUCAAUGUACACACACGCGCGCGCGUGUGUGUGUGUACCGUGUACAUAUAUGUAUAUGCAUAUAAAAUCUAUACAGUUACACUUAUAUUUGUAUAUAAUUUAUAAUGAAUCUAAUUAAAUCUUAUACUAUUCCAUUCAUUUUUUACCGGCAAUAUAAAUAAUAAAGCAGGAGUAAUGGAUGAAAAUAACCUGUCAUGCAAGCGAGACUGUUGUCCUUGCCAAAACUCGAAAAGCUCUGGUUUAAGCCUGUAUCCUCCCCAGUGUUUAGGUUUUGGGAUCAAAUUUAUGUCAGAGAACUUUUCCUCUAAUUCUUUGAAUUGUUGGUAUAGAACAUGCCUUCCAGGAACUAUAGUACUCUGACGGAGGAAAGAAAAUUAUACCGUGCCAUGGCCUAUACAAACAAGUAGUUUCACAUAUUGGAUACAAUUAGAAAACUGAAAGUAAAAGGAACCUGCUUGCUGACUAUUGCUCCAAUCUGACUUCCUCGAGGGCGGCUAUGGAAGUAUUGUUCAGAUUCCUCAUCUGAGACUUUCUGCACAAAUCCUUCCACCCUUACCUGCCGAUUAAGACCAUCCCAGUAGAAAAGGAGUGAUGCUUGAGGAUUUUCAGAUAAUUGAUUUGCCUUUCUACUUUCAUAAUUGGUGCACCAGACAAACCCAUCUUUAUCAAUUCCUUUCAACAAUACCAUUCUAGAUGAGGGUUUUCCAUCCUGUCCAACAGUUGACAAGCACAUAGCAUUUGGCUCCUUCAGUCCAGCAGCCACAGCAUCAUCAAACCAUUUGCGGAACUGAUCAAUGGGAUUAGCCUCCACCUGUUCCUCAAGGAAUUCAGGAGAAAUAUAGUUCUCCCUUAGAGCUGAUAUAUCAAUUUGCGGAGGCUUUCCAAUUCGGACACACAUAGAAGUGCCAGGAUAUGGUGGGAGAUGCAGCUUAUAUUUCUCCACUAUUGAUGGUGGGACAAACCUACCGCCUAGAAAGUGGUGUGGACCAGAAAAUUUCUUUGCACACAACUUUGGAGCAGUCAAAGAAACCAACAUGUCAGGUUUAAUUCCUUCACCAGCAACAUCGCCUUCUUCAACAUUCCAUCCAGAUGGAAUAUCUACAGAGACAAUAACUGAGGACUUUUGGCGAGUUUGAUUGCACUUAUGCAAGUAAACCAACUUUUGGAUUAGAUCAUCAAAAGGUGGUCUUGGGGUACCAUGGAAUGAGAACCCAAACAUUGCGUCUACUAGAAUAUCAAAGUCCUUUGACAAAUCUGAAGGCAAAUCUCCCACUGUCAAGAGAGGGACUGCCAGUGAUUCCAGCUGAGUAACCAGACCAGUAUAAAGAGGUUUGGCAGUGCGCUUUGGAUAGCAAACAAAUGGUUUGUAUCCAAAGUGAUGCAGAUGGCGAACUGCUACCAAACCAUCACCACCAUUGUUCCCCGGACCACAAAUCGCAAGAACACGAUUAAACUCGCUUGGUUUGUAAACCUCUGCUAUGGAAGUAGCAACGCUCAAACCAGCCAAUUCCAUCAACUGAUUGACGCUAAACCCGAGAGGACCCAUAAGAAUCUCAUCAAUCUCCGCGGCUUCACGCUGCGUGAGGUAGGAUAUGGACACUGGACUUGUCAUGCUUUGCAUUACUCUAGUCGCUUCUACAGAUGAAUUCGAAGCAAAUGAACGAAUUCUCGGAAGCGAAAUCGCACAUGUAGAACCCCAAGAUUUUUCUACGAGGGGAUGGUAGAGAGAGCGAGAGGAUUUGCAAAUGGAAGGAGCGUUAUGUAAAUUGUGAGUGAGAGCGGAAGGGAGCAGUUGGCUGAAAAGUAAACAUGUCAUUUCUCGGCACUAUUAGCAUCAAUAUCAUCGCUAACCAGAUUCUUCUUUAUUUCCGUCUCACCAUUCCUGGAUAAAUCUUGAUUUUGCAAAACCGAG
rnacentral:misc_RNA from 1 species